GGAGGUCUAGCCUGCCCAGUGAUAAAAUUCAACGGCCGCGGUACCCUAACCGUGCGAAGGUAGCAUAAUCACUUGUUCUUUAAAUGAGGACUUGUAUCAACGGCAUCACGAGGGUUACACUGUCUCCUUUUUCCAAUCAGUGAAACUGAUCUCUCCGUGAAGAAGCGGAGAUUUUUUUAUAAGACGAGAAGACCCCAUGGAGCUUUAAACCCACCUGCACUCCUAUUUUCUAUUACCUCUAAAACUAUGGAAUCUGCAUUCUUGGUUUUAGGUUGGGGUGACCGCGGAGCACAAUAUAGCCUCCACGAUGAACGGGAUUACCCCCUUAUCUACGAGCUACACCUCUAAGAAUUAGUAUUCUAACAUAAAAUGAUCCGACAAUCGAUCAACGAACCAAGUUACCCUGGGGAUAACAGCGCAAUCCACUUCAAGAGCUCCUAUCGACAAGUGGGUUUACGACCUCGAUGUUGGAUCAGGGUAUCCUAGUGGUGCAGCAGCUACUAAAGGUUCGUUUGUUCAACGAUUAAAACCCUACGUGAUCUGAGU
rnacentral:rRNA from 1 species